CCGCUUUCAUGCAACACCGCAAGAGCGGUGGCGCUUGUAGUGCAUUCUUUCCUCCUUUUAUGGUGUCUUCUUUCCUCUGGCAAGGCGUACCCGCACUCUUCUCUGACGCUUCGCACCUCGCCCACUACCUCGCGAGGGCGCUGAGGCUACGAGCACACUAUUACAUGCUCAGGUACGCGCUUCUUUACAUCGAUGUCUGAGGGAGCGAGCAAGCCGCUGCCAGCUGCUGAGCGCGUCCGGUGGCGGCUCGUCCACCCCGCCGAUGGGCAAAUCCAUUCGCUGCUGCUGCUCAUAGCCGCUGUCAUCUUCUGCAACGGCAUCCGCGGUGACCUCACGUUCGAUGACCACCUCGCCAUUGGCAAGAACGCUGACGCGUGGGCAAACAAGAAAUCGCUCGGCUCCAUCUUCUACAAUGACUUCUGGGGCAAGCCACUUGACCGCUUCGAGUCGAACGGGUCUUACCGUCCCAUCACCGUGCUCACCUUUCGCAUCCAGCAUUGGUUGAUGGGCUACCGCCACAGCCCCGCCUUCCUCCACGGCUUCAACUACACAAUCGCGUAUCUCAACGUGUGCCUCGUGUUUUACCUCGCACGCUUGUACGUCUACAUGGUGGUGCCCAGCGCAGUGCUCGCCGUCGAGAAUGCCAAGGCGCAUUCCCUCACGGCUUUGCUGACCUCUCCCGUGCAUGCGGUGCCCUUGAUGGCGGCUCUGCUGUUCCUCGUGCACCCCGUCCACGUCGACGCCGUCACGUCCAUCGUGGGGCGGUGCGAGCUGCUCUACUGUCUCUUUGGGCUCAUCGGAUUCUUCUGCAUCCACCGGUAUCUAAACCAAGUCGAUGAGACGGCCGACACGGCUUCAGUGACUGCAGCCGUCUCGGCUGCGCCUGCAAACGCCAAGACGUUUUCACCCGCCUCUGCCGCCGCGAAGCAAGUUCACGGGAGGCGCAGGCAGCAGACGCGCUCGCAGCAGCGCAUCUUUACAGCUCGCUACGUCCUCUUCGCGGCCUACGCGCUCAUCAUCAGCAUUCUCUGCAAAGACAGCGCCAUCACUUUCACCGCUAUCUAUGGCGUUCACGCGUGCGUCAUGUACGCCUGUGGACGGUGCCAGGGACGGCGCUCCUUGCUCGUCAUCGCCGUGGCGGUGCUGGAGCUGGUCGGCUACAUAGCCUUCCGUCGACAGUUCAUUGGACGUGUUGACCUGCAGAAGAACCCCCUGCUGCGCCAAACCGAAAAUCCGCAGUACUUCGUGCCGAAAGGCCUCUUUCACUGGCUCAGCAUUCGGUGGGUGAUUCAGGUGAAGAACUUGGAGCUGCUCUUCUUCCCCACGUCGCUGUGCUGUGAGUACAGCUUCAACUGCAUCCCGCACAUGCAAGACAUGCAAGACCCCCGUGUGCCGUACUUCAUCAGGGUCACCGGUGCUGCUUUGAUCACACUGCUGGGCCUCCUGUACGGAACGCUCGCGUUCCGUUCUCGCGUGGCGCUUGUGGGCCUCGUCGGGCUCCUCUGGAUGGCGAUCUCGUACGCCCCGGUCAGCCACCUCUUCAUCGCCGUUGGCACCUUCAUCGCGGAGCGCUGUCUGUACGUGCCGUCCAUCGGCGCGGUGCUGCUCAUCACCUUCAUUGUGGGUGCCCCAGGGCUUCGCAAAGGAGUCGUGACUCGCUACUUCUACGGGCUGCUGCUGCUGUGCGUUGGCUGGGGUAUCUUCUCCCACCGGCGCAACGAGGACUGGCUGACCGACGAGCGCCUGUUCCGCUCCGCGUUGCGGACAUGCCCGAAUAGCGGCAAGGCCUACUCGCAGCUAGCGGCGCUAAUCUCAAGUCGCGAGCGGCGCAUCACCCCCGAAGUUGUCGAGCUGGCCAAGCGUUCGGUCGAGCUAGACUCGAAGCUGCGCGAUGGCUACUACUACUUGGCAGUGAACGAGGUGAACAACAACCGCAACCUGAAGAAGGCCUACAUCUACCUCCGCCGGUGCAUGGAGGACCCGUUCGCCCUCAACAUGUGCCUUGACUCGUACGAGAAGGUGAGCCGCAUUCUCUUUCCCAAUAUGACAGAGGUAGAGAAGCUCGUCGACUACGCCUCGCUGACGCUGUUGGAGUCGCAGAAGGCGACACACCUCCGCCAGGCUGGCGUCAUCGCGUUGCAGAUGUACAAGAAGCCUUGUCUCGCCCAGCAGCUCUUUGACAAGGCGAUGAUCCACUGGAGCCACUCGAAGCUGUACUGGAUCUCUGAUGAGGUGAAACGGGAUUCUGGUGACGCCACCUACUGCAACGCUCUCUACUGGUAUGAGCAGUCCACUUUGCUGUGUGAGGCACAAGAUGCGGCUGGCACGGUUGAGUCGCGGAUCGCGGAUGACCAGGAAGACGGUGGUGCCGAUGAUGUCGACUCUAGCAGCUCCAAGUUGCCGAGGAAGGGCGUCCCUCUCGCGCCGCAGGAGGCAGCCCAGCGAGCAGUUGCCGUAGCGGAGCGCUUCCGUGCUUGCGGCACCGACUGGCAUCAGGUUCUGUCGGAGCCUAAGUACAACCUCCCCACCGUACCUCACCGCAUGACGCAGUACCUCACCGUUGGUGAUGCAACAGGCAACGUGCUCCAGCACUACGUCAACUAUACUGCGUUGGACACGCCAGAGCGGAACGAGGUGCUGCUUAUGUUUUUGGACAUUACCGUGCGGCAGUACUGCCACAUCCACACGCUGAUGAGCGACUCUUACGUUCGUAAGAAGGUCGGCAGCAUGUUCAAAAAUCAUCUGCAGUCCGUCGAGCAUGGGUUUCCGCGCUUCCGCCAGGAGCGCCUGGCUGACAUGCACACGGUGCGGCGCGAGCUCAAGAUGACGACGACACUCAACGCCACACAGCAGAACACGCUGAAGCGUAUCUUUUCCAUGGCCUCUUGCUCGAGUGAUCUCUCAUUUUUGGCCGUUUAACAAGGUACACACACAUACACACACACACACAUACACAUACACAGCACUGCGCGUGGCCACAGUCUCUGCGUAGCGUCGCCUCUCGGUUGUUUUAGUGGUCGUAUGCUCUUAUCUUUGCCCUUCCACCCGCUCGCUCUCGUGCUCGUGGGAGGCUACGAAGAUGGGAGGUGGCGAUCUGGUAUUCCUUGUUCAUUUUACUUAGGUGCUUGUGCUUCUCGGAAGCUCCUCGGGCGCAGAGGAGAGCGGAGGAGCGAGAGGGUUGAAGGCGUAGCCCGCCUGCGACUCAAACUCUCCGACGCCCAGUGAGAGCCACGCUCCUCUGUCGCUCCUCUUCUCCUCCGGGCACCACUUCCCGCCACCACGCCCUCCUCAUCAAUCGUCUUGUCCAGCGGUGCGGCCCGCAAGCCUUUUCUCCCUCUGCAUUGCUCCACCCAUCGCCCUCCGGCGAUAGGGUGGGUGGGCCACGCGUCACGACGUUGGGCUUCUGUUGCUGGCACGUACCACGAGAGUCUUUGUGCGCGUCCAAACACUUCCGUGAAGCACCGCCGCGUUGCCGUCGUCUUUCUGGCAACCUUCCGUGCCGUUUGGUACGCCGUCGAGAGAGUAGGGGUGGACAGGGACGGAUGGAUGGAUGGAUGGCGGCAUGGGGAUGUGGUGAUGAGAGGGAAGACGUGCGUCUGUUGGCGAGUGCGCACGAUGAAGCCGACGGUGCAGGCUCUUUUUAUCUAUCUCUUUGAUGUGCAUCAACUUAUUUCUGUUUUUCGCGUCCUUUCUGGACAACCCGUGUGCUCGUCUGGACCCCCUCCCUUGGGUGUUUUUCUGUAUGUCUGUUUCUGUUUUGAAUCGCUAUCUGUCUACUGCCUCCUCAUCUCUACUCAUUCAUGCUAACGUCUGGUUCUGCGCGUUGGUGUGUGGCGCUGUGAACCUGCGGUAUAUCGCUGCUCUCUGCCUCACCGCGCUGAUCCUUCUCUACGACUCCCUCGCCAGUCCGCCGCCCACCGCCCACCCUCACUCAAGGCGUGGGCGCACUCAGCGGGUGAGGCCGUCCCCGCUCAGCCGACAGCAGAAAGACACAAGAGGGUAUAGGCGGGGCGGGGCCGCUAUCGAUACCGUGAGCCACCAACGCCAAACACCAGCUUGAAGCGGCUGUCAUGAGGGCGUGGGUGAGCCGACUCACCAACACGUCGGCAGCACUUUCAGCUGCUGGCUAGUCGAUUCGCGUUCAAGCGUUCGUGCGCUGGAGUAGGUGGCACACCUUUUCCUCGGUUACUGGUAGAGCCCUCUUCCAAAAGUGGAUACGCGGCGGCCGUGUUCAACGCGUCUUGUUU
rnacentral:misc_RNA from 1 species